rnacentral:rRNA from 1 species
UACAGAGGUCUCAAGCGUUGUUCGGAUUCAUUGGGCGUAAAGGGUGCGUAGGUGGCGCCAUAAGUCAGGUGUGAAAUCUCGGGGCUCAACCCCGAAACUGCACUUGAUACUGUGGUGCUCGAGUACUGGAGAGGAGAUUGGAAUUUACGGUGUAGCAGUGAAAUGCGUAGAGAUUGGAAAGAACACCGAUGGCGAAGGCACUUUACUGGGCUAUUACUAACACUGAGAGACGAAAGCUAGGGUAGCAAAUGGG